rnacentral:rRNA from 1 species
GACGAAGGAUGCAAGCGUUAUCCGGAUUCAUUGGGUUUAAAGGGAGCGUAGGCGGCCCUGUAAGUCAGUGGUGAAAUCUCGCAGCUUAACUGCGAAAUUGCCAUUGAUACUGCAGGGCUUGAGUACAGUUGCUGUGGGCGGAAUAUGACAUGUAGUGGUGAAAUACAUAGAGAUGUCAUAGAACACCGAUUGCGAAGGCAGCUCACAAAACUGAUAACUGACGCUGAGGCUCGAAAGUGCGGGGAUCAAACAGG